CAGAAUCAAGAAUUAAAACAAAAUUAAAAGAUAUAAAGAAUACACCCGUAUGAUAAUCCUUCAAUUUUGUGUGUAAUCUUCAAUUCCUUCUUGAAUCCUUGUGAAAUCAAGCCCAAGAUUGUGUUUCUUGCCUUCAAAUUGAGUGUAUUUCUUCUCCCUGGUCGUUCAUGCCCUCAAUUUUUUGAUUUUGGGUAUUUAUAUCGCGUAAAAAUCAAAUAGGAAAAGAGUUUCAACGAAAACAAAAAACUACAACGGAGGCCCCCGAAUUAUCACUAUGCGACCGCAUAGAAGGAUUCUAUGCGGUCGCAUAGACCAAACGCAUAGAAGGAUUCUAUGCGGUCGCAUAGACCAAUAAAUUUUCCCCCAACAUUUCCUGCAACCAUCUAUGUGACCGCAUAGAUGGUUACACUAUGCGGUCGUAUAGAUAUAACCAACUAUGUAGUCCUUACAUUUUGGUCCCUGAACUUCCUUGUUGCUUCUCUUGACUUCUUUCUUCGAUUUCUUCAUCUUUUCAACA
rnacentral:lncRNA from 1 species